UACGAAGGUGGCAAGCGUUGUUCGGAUUUACUGGGCGUACAGGGAGCGUAGGCGGUUGGAUAAGCCCUCCGUGAAAUCUCCAGGCUUAACCUGGAAAGUGCAGAGGGGACUGUUCAGCUAGAGGAUGGGAGAGGAGCGCGGAAUUCCCGGUGUAGCGGUGGAAUGCGUAGAGAUCGGGAGGAAGGCCGGUGGCGAAGGCGGCGCUCUGGAACAUUUCUGACGCUGAGGCUCGAAAGCGUGGGGAGCAAACAGG
rnacentral:rRNA from 1 species